rnacentral:SRP_RNA from 1 species
UUGGUUCUCCCGCAACGCUAACUUGUUAACUUGGUCAGGUCCGGAAGGAAGCAGCCAUAGCAGGGGUCGUGUGUGCCGGGAUGUCGCUGG